UCAAAAGAGGUCUCUGAAAUUUUAGAGGGUUGUGGUAUAUGAAUCAUUGCUGGAUGAGGAAAGGAGUGGGGGAGGAUCUGCAGUUUCAUGCAGCAUUGUACGAUGGAUUUAUAUGGCUGCCUGACUAGGAUGCUGGUGCCUGCAUACGAGCUGAUGUUCGGGAAGCCAUCCCUCCAUAGACUCUUUGAGGGCUACUUCAAUCAAGCCGGGAGGGUGAACGCAAGGGGUCAUUUUGAAGAUGCUGCAAGAUCCUCAUGUUAAUUUGAUCACAAUUAUAGGAGACGCCCUGUGGGUGUCGUUUCUUCACACAUAAAAUAUAUUUUUUGGGCACUGACAACCAUGUGCUCACAUUCUUACAUAUUUAUUAUUUUU